rnacentral:rRNA from 1 species
UGCAGUCGAACGGCAGCACAAGGGAGCUUGCUCCCUGGGUGGCGAGUGGCGGACGGGUGAGGAAUACAUCGGAAUCUGCCCAGUCGUGGGGGAUAACUUAGGGAAACUUAAGCUAAUACCGCAUACGACCUUCGGGUGAAAGAGGGGGAUCGCAAGACCUCUCGCGAUUGGAUGAGCCGAUGUCGGAUUAGCUUGUUGGCGGGGUAACGGCCCACCAAGGCGACGAUCCGUAGCUGGUCUGAGAGGAUGAUCAGCCACACUGGAACUGAGACACGGUCCAGACUCCUACGGGAGGCAGCAGUGGGGAAUAUUGGACAAUGGGCGCAAGCCUGAUCCAGCCAUGCCGCGUGAGUGAAGAAGGCCCUCGGGUUGUAAAGCUCUUUUGUCCGGAAAGAAAAGCACUCGGCCAAUACCCGGGUGUCCUGACGGUACCGGAAGAAUAAGCACCGGCUAACUUCGUGCC